rnacentral:rRNA from 1 species
UUUCUAGAGAUAGAAAGUUACUUCGGUACAUCGGUGACAGGUGGUGCAUGGUUGUCGUCAGCUCGUGUCGUGAGAUGUUGGGUUAAGUCCCGCAACGAGCGCAACCCCUAUUGUUAGUUGCCAUCAUUCAGUUUGGGCACUCUAGCGAGACUGCCGGUAAUAAACCGGAGGAAGUGGGAUGACGUCAAAUCAUCAUGCCCCUUAUGACCUGGGCUACACACGUGCUACAAUGGUUGGUACAACGAGUUGCGAGUCGGUGACGGCGAGCUAAUCUCUUAAAGCCAAUCUCAGUUCGGAUUGUAGGCUGCAACUCGCCUACAUGAAGUCGGAAUCGCUAGUAAUCGCGGAUCAGCACGCCGCGGUGAAUACGUUCCCGGGCCUU